rnacentral:rRNA from 1 species
UGGGGGAUAUUGCACAAUGGGGGAAACCCUGAUGCAGCAAUGCCGCGUGAGGGAAGAAGGUCUUCGGAUUGUAAACCUAAGUAGCCAGGGACGAUAAUGACGGUACCUGGAGAGUAAGCUCCGGCUAACUACGUGCCAGCAGCCGCGGUAAUACGUAGGGAGCGAGCGUUGUCCGGAUUUACUGGGUGUAAAGGGUGCGUAGGCGGGAUGGCAAGUCAGAUGUGAAAUACCGGGGCUUAACCCCGGGGCUGCAUUUGAAACUGUCGUUCUUGAGUGAAGUAGAGGCAGGCGGAAUUCCUAGUGUAGCGGUGAAAUGCGUAGAUAUUAGGAGGAACACCAGUGCGAGCGCCUGCUGGGCUUUAACUGACGCUGAGGCUCGAAAGUGUGGGUAUCGAACAGGAUUAGAUACCC